UACGUAGGGUGCAAGCGUUAAUCGGAAUUACUGGGCGUAAAGCGUGCGCAGGCGGUUUUGUAAGUCUGAUGUGAAAUCCCCGGGCUCAACCUGGGAAUUGCGUUGGAGACUGCAAGGCUAGAAUCUGGCAGAGGGGGGUAGAAUUCCACGUGUAGCAGUGAAAUGUGUAGAGAUGUGGAGGAACACCGAUGGCGAAGGCAGCCCCCUGGGUCAAGAUUGACGCUCAUGCACGAAAGCGUGGGGAGCAAACAGG
rnacentral:rRNA from 1 species